rnacentral:rRNA from 1 species
UACGUAGGGUGCGAGCGUUACUCGGAAUUACUGGGCGUAAAGCGUGCGCAGGCGGCGCGUUAAGACAGGUGUGAAAGCCCCGAGCUUAACUUGGGAAUUGCGCUUGUGACUGGCGAGCUGGAGUGCGAGAGAGGGGCGUGGAAUUCCGGGUGUAGUGGUGAAAUGCGUAGAGAUCCGGAGGAACCCCAGAGGCGAAGGCGGCGCCCUGGCGCGCAACUGACGCUCAGACACGACAGCAUGGGGAGCGAACGGG